GACGUCAACUUUAAUUUGUCCGUUUGAGACGCGUCAUAUAUACGGUCCGUUUUCAUGAUUAAUUGUUUGUACGUCUGCUCGAGUGUACUUUUCAGUAUUGCAAACAUAAUAAUAAAACCACAACUGUAUGUAUUUUCCAGCUCGGUGAACGUGAUUGAAGGCACUGCGGGAGAUGUAGUCCUUUGGCCUGCGCCCACCCGCCGCACAUCCCCGAGACUGUCCGUCUUGGAAUCGCCGCUUCGGCUGAGCAGCGCAGAGACACGGCGCGUGCAAGAGCCUGGACCACGGUCAGUCAUAGCGGUAGGUCCCGCUGCUAAUUGUGUUUUUGCGGGGAGAGGAGAGAAGAGAGGAGAGGAGAGGAUGGACAGAACGAGAGCUGAAGGUGCAGAACGAGAGCUGAAGAGGCUGAACGGUUGCUGCUUAUUUUCCACCUUUCUUCUCUUUUCAAGUGUUUUUGGGCCCUUAGAUUUUUAUUUCUCGAAGCAUAAAACAUGUUUUGAGGGCUUUACUUUUAUGCUAAUAAAUUGGGAAAAAUCUGCUGCUGAAUGCAUUGAAAAUACCUUUUUUAAAAUAAGAAAAUGAAGGCUCUUGACCUGUGGAACUAUAAAAUAAAAACCCUGAAGUUAUUUAAAA